rnacentral:rRNA from 1 species
UGAAUACGAGAUGCUACGGCGUCGAAGCAGUCUAUGUCAUACUUCCAAGAAAAGCUUGCACUGUCAUAAACAAAUAAUGCCUGUACCAUAACCGACACAGGUGGGUAGGUAGAGUAUACUAAGGGGCGCGAGAUAACUCUCUCUAAGGAACUCGGCAAAAUGACUCCGUAACUUCGGGAGAAGGAGUGCCUUAUUUAUAAGGUUGCAAUAACAAGAUCCAAGCAACUGUUUACCAAAAACACAGGUCUCCGCUAAGUCGUAAGACGAUGUAUGGGGGCUGACGCCUGCCCAGUGCCAGAAGGUUAAAGAAGUUGGUUAGCAUCCGCGAAGCUGAUAACUGAAGCCCUGGUGAACGGCGGCCGUAACAAUAACGGUCCUAAGGUAGCGAAAUUCCUUGUCGGGUAAGUUCCGACCCGCACGAAAGGCGUAAUGAUUUGGAUACUGUCUCGGAGAGGGGCUCGGUGAAAUAGACUUGUCUGUGAAGAUGCGGACUACCUGCACCAGGACAGAAAGACCCUAUGAAGCUUUACUGUAACCUGAAAUUGAAAUUGGACUUUACUUGCGCAGUAUAGGUGGGAGGCGUUGAGAAUAUUCUUGCGGGAUUAUUGGAGCCAUCAGUGAGAUACCACUCUUGUAAUGUUAGAUUUCUAACUUUGUAUCAUUAUCUGGUCAAAGAACAGUUUCAGGCGGGCAGUUUGACUGGGGCGGUCGCCUCCUAAACGGUAACGGAGGCGCACAAAGGUUUCCUCUGAACGGGUAGAAAUCGUAUCUAGAGUGUAAAGGCAUAAGGAAGCUUGACUGUGAGAUCUACAAGUCGAGCAGGGACGAAAGUCGGUCUUAGUGAUCUGACGGUGCUGAGUGGAAAGGCCGUCACUCAACGGAUAAAAGUUACUCUAAGGAUAACAGGCUGAUCUCCCCCAAGAGUUCACAUCGACGGGGAGGUUUGGCACCUCGAUGUCGGCUCAUCGCAUCCUGGGGCGGUAGUACGUCCCAAGGGUUGGGCUGUUCGCCCAUGAAAGCGGUACGCGAGCUGGGUUCAGAACGUCGUGAGACAGUUCGGUCCAUAUCCGGUGUAGGCGUUAGAAUAUUGAGAGGAGCCUUCUUUAGUACGAGAGGACCGAGAAGGACAUACCUCUGGUGUACCAGUUAUCGUGCCAACGGUUAACGCUGGGUAGCUAUGUGUGGAGUGGAUAACCGCUGAAAGCAUCUAAGUGGGAAGCCCACCUCAAGAUAAG